UGGGAUUAGAUACCCCACUAUACUUAUUUGUAAAAACUUAAACACCAGAGUAAUACGACUAAAAAGUUAAAACUUAAAGAACUUGGCGGUUUUUUAGUUCUUCUCGGAGGAGCUUGUUAUUAAAUUGAUAACCCACAAGGAACCUUACCACUUAUUGAAUAUUUUACAGCUUGUAUACCAUCGUCGCCAGCUCACCUCAACUAGAAAGUGAACUUAAAGAAAAUAUUUCUAAACGUCAGAUCAAGGUGCAGCUAAUAAAGUGGGAAUAAAUGAGCUACUUUACUUUUAAACUGAGGAUUUUUUAAUGAAAAAAAUCAUGAAAAAGGAUUCGAUAGUAAUAAUAUAAAGAAACAAAUUAUGAAAUCAGCUCUAAAAUGCGCACACACCGCCCG
rnacentral:rRNA from 1 species